ACAUGCAGACUUCAUCCAUCUACUGGGUUAUCCCUGAGAUAGCCCUAAAGCUGGACCACGCUGAACCCAGGAUGCAGGAGCUUCAUCCAGGUCUCACAGGUUACUUCAGUGAUCCCCAAACGGGUAGAGCCUUUUCUGCUCUAGGGAGCGUGCAGUUCUGACACUACGACCUCACAGCAAUUGGACGAAGUUACCUUUGGAACACAUCAAAUGAUGAUUUGCUUCCUGUGGACAGCUGGGCAUUCAUCCUGGCUUCGCCUAUCUUCCUCCUGCUGACAUGCCACUGUUGUUUCUGGAAGAAAUGAUCAACAGAGUCAGCACGGUCAUUCGUCCAUGUUCUGAACCACACUGCUGUAGCCGUGCAUCCCUCCAUCACUGUCCCCCUGUCUGGAGGACUGUGACUACACAGGCUGUAUCCGGACCUGACACGGCACAGCUUUAGCCA